CUUUAACCACUGUUCAUCGGGUAGGUUAGUUUAAUCCAGGUUCAGCACCGCCUUCUUCAUCCAAUCGGAUUUCACAUUUUCUACUGCUUCAUCUCACCGAGUUAUAUUACCAUCUACUGCUUGCUUUCUUUAUUGUUACACAAAAACAGGAUGACACUUUCUCGACCAUUUCCUGUACCACGUCCCUUUCCGUCGACCUUCUUGCUCUCCUUCUACCACGUCCCUCCUACUGCUUCUUUUGGUCCUUCCACCAUUAAAAGCAUCGGCUUUUUCCCGCCGCCUUUGUCAGCGAAUCUUCCAUUUUCUCUGCGUUUUCCCUGUUCUCUUCUACACCAUCGACAUUAAUCAAAUCCACCAUCACCACCGCUCCACCAAAUCGCCACUCCGACAUCAAUUAAUGGGCUCCAUCAAUUUUUAUUGAAGAUGAGAACUGUUCUAACUCUAGAUUUUCGCCUUAUUUCUUGCAUCCUCGCCAUGGAGGAAGUCGGGAAAUUCGCAGUUACGAUUCUAACUAAGCAGGUUUGGCAGAAUAUGAAAGGGGUUUCAAGGUCGACUGCAAGGUGGAAAAGAAGCAACACGACAACAUCAAAUAUAAAAUCAGGCUGAAGAAGAAGAGGUAGAUUCCGUGAUCAGAUACGUCAAUAGAGACGAUGGUUCUCGGUUGACCAGUUGUCGCUUCACAAAUUUUGGCUACUAUCAGAUCCACUGUUUGGUUAAAGCUAAAGAAGACAUUCUGCAUGAAUAUUAGGUGUUGAGUUUAUAUUUUCUCUGCGUUUUUUCAUCUUAUAUUUUAAAUUUUUUAUUCUAUGAAUUUGGAAAUUAGGAUUUUGAUAUUAAAGUUAUCUUUUCUCUAUAAUUUUUAGGCAACGAGUACUCCAUGGUGAAAGACCCAAUUAAUUGGUAAUUAUUUGUUGUCAGAUCCUUGAACUUCAAAGUGGUUGGUACCCGUUUCUGCUGCUUGAUUACCACUACAUUGGCAGUCUUAUUUUGAGAUCUGUUUUAAUCAAGUUUCAAAUACCAUGCAAGUUUUUCAAGAUGUCACAACUCACAUAUAUAAGGUUUAACAAGCAUGGAAUUCUUUCAGAGAGGGCGUAUGGUGGAGAUAUAUGGUCCAGAUGCUUUUGGAAAGAUAAGUCGACUUUUAAAGAUAGCAGGAUGUCAAAAACCACUUAGAAAAAAAUUAAACCAAACUACUCAUAAAAUUAUUUGAAAUUUCUGAUUUUUGGCGCAACGGUUGCUCAAUCAGGUGAUUCUAUUCAACUUCUGAGUUUACAACACCGAAUAAGGCUCUUCACUUACGGAAUAUCUUCUUCGAUGAUACCACAUGAUAAAAGAAGAAUCGGUCGCAAGAACUUUUGAAUUGGCUGCACUCAUGUAUUAGGGAACAACUUUCAUAAAUUUCCAGGUACUAAAUAUAAUUGUAUAUUGAGUUUAUUUGUUAUAUUUUUUUUUUUCACAAACAAAAUUUGAUAUAUAUUAUAAUGUUAAAAAGUCAAACAUUGGCUUAAACCUUUUUUCCUAAUCUGUAAGUUUAUUUUCUUCAGCCAAAAAUAGCCAUAUACUUUUAUUGAUUUGUUUAUUAUGGUAUCCUACUUUCUUUUCAUCAUGUUCCACCACUGUACUUUCAAAAAACUACCCAAUUUCUACAUUUUCUACUAGAAUGUGUAAAGGAUGUGAUUGUGUAUUGUGGUGGAUGUCUAUGUAUUUUUUUAGAUUAAAUGUAAUUCAAUUUGAGUGGUUGUUUCAGUA